rnacentral:lncRNA from 1 species
GACUGCGCUUCUGCUCAUUAGGACUACGCCGCCCACUGUGGCCGCCGCUUUUGCUCGCUCCGACCACAUGGCCGCCGCUUCCGCUCGCUUCAAAGACGCUGCCGGUUCCGCCGGGGCCCCGCGGAAAGCGCCGUCUCGGCUUCCGUAGAGGCGCGCACACCAAUAGCGUCAUAGCGACUGGCUGCAGCACCACCCCCUCUUAAAGGGGCCGCGGCUCGGACUGCACAGAAGCAGCUUCGCGUUGCGGCACAGGCUGAGCCUCUGCCCAGCCCCAGCGGUAGACCAAAGCUAACCUGCCCCCCACCCGUGGCCAGGCACCUGCCUAUGGGGCUUCAUCUAUGCAGCCUCUGCAAACCACAGCAGUCUGAAGAGAGGACUCUAGAAACCUGAACCCGCCCCCCUUCAGCUCCCCACUCCCUGGCAAAGGGCUCCAGCUGCUCUGGAUGAUGAGGAAGCCGGGCACCUCUGACAAGCAAGCUGCUGUAGGCACCACCUCAGAACUUCAGGUGUGGGCCACGAUUUUCUGCAUGGCCCCAGCAACUCCUGGAAUCCAUAACCUGACCAGGAACGUCAGAGGUCUUGCAUGCAGGCUGGAGUGCGGUGACACGGUCACAGCUCACUGCAACCUUGACCUACUGGAUUCAAGGGCCUUCCCACCUCAGCUUCUCAAGUAAUUGGGACCACAGCUGUUGGCUGGACACAGUGGCUUACAUCUGUAAUUCCGGAAUUGGGGAGGCUAAGGUGGGUGAAGUGCUUGAACCCAGAAGUUUGAGACCAGCCUAGGCGACAUGGCAAAACCGAGUCUCUACAUCUCGACACAAACAAACAAACCUGAAAUUAGCCGGUCAUCUGCAGUCCCAGCUAUGUACUCAGGAAACUAAGGCCAGCGGAUCUGUUGAGUCCUGGAGAUCGAGGCUGCAGUGAGCCACGAUCAUACCACUGCACUCCAGCCUGGGCAACAGAAAGAGACCCUGUCUCAAAAAAUAAUAAAGUACAUAAAUAAAUAAAUAAACUGUUGAUUGGGAGCCGUGUAUGCACCAGGCCCUAAGCGGGGCAUGAUGAGAUGGGAUGAAGAGUCUGGAGACUUGGGAAAGGCUGCACCUCUGGAGGGAGGCCGCAGCUUCUCCUUCAUCAAAGAGGUCC